ensembl:lncRNA TENM3-AS1 TENM3 antisense RNA 1
GCGCUUCCCCCGGUGCAGAUCGCGGGAGAGCCCAAUCACGGGGCGAGCUGGACCUGGCUGUGAUCAUUUAUAAUCCUUGACUCCUCCGCUCCGCCACUUGUCAAGAUGACAGGUAACCUAAGCUGUGGAAAAAAGAGACCAUCUGGAAAGAAUGCUGCGGUUUCACAGAGCCAACAUUAUUCUCUACCUCCCCUUCCUCUUCCUCUUUCUUUAUGGAUGGCAAACAGCGUUCAGAUGACAGAUUUUGGAAAAUUGUCUUAGGAGACGCAUUCUCAGGCAGUUCCAGUGUAUUGGUAUUUUGGAUGUUUCUCUGCAUUUUGUCAUACGGUUCAGAAGGGUGAUAGGCUUUCUGUGAACUGCUGGGCUUCAAGAAGGCUAUUAUCUUCCACUCAGGUUUAAUGGAGGAAUUUAUGGGAUUUUGCCACCUUGUGAGGUUCAGUGCUAGAAUUUCUGCGUUGGAUGGAUCAAGAAUCUACGGGGAGCCAAGUCACUUAAAAGUAUCAGUUAUUCCCAAUAUUCCCUUCAUCUAAUGAAGUUCCUCCAAAUUUCAUGAUCCUUGUGACAAUCCACCCCAGACUAUGGUGAGAGACCCAGAGCUGCAGCAGUUUUGGUUGUGGUUAUUCUGACAUUGACCCGAAGGGAGCAAGAAUGUUUCUCAGGAGCCCUUGCCUGGACUCCCCUUCCAGACCACAACUUCCCCGGUGAUAUGGGACCCUGGAGGAGGAAGUCUACAAUGUGGGAGAGAUGAGUUACCAGGAAGAUAACCUUUGCACUCAGAAGGCUUGCGAACCCCAGAGGAGACUGUCUGUCUGAGAGAUCACCUUACCCACACUGUGGAAUAAAAAUAUUGCCUCUGACAUUAGGGAACUGGCAUUCCCCUCCUCCACUGUUUGAAAAGGUAGGAUUGCAUCCUGCAAGAAGAUGCUGAAGUCCUACCCCCUAGUACCUGUGAAUGUGAGAUCGGGUCUCAUAUUCACAAAAUGUGGUACAGAGACACAAUGAAAUACUAAGCAACCGGCUGGGCAUGGCGGCCCAUGCCCAUAACCCCAGCACUUUGGGAGGCUGAGGAGGCAGAUCACCUGACGUCAGGAGUUGGAGACUAGCUUGGCCAACGUGGCAAAACCCCACCUCUACUAAAAAUACAAAAACUAGCCGGGCAUGGUGGUGCUUGCCUGUAAUCACAGCUACUCGGGAGGCUGAGGCACAAGAAUGGCUUGAACCUGGGAGGUGGAGUUUGCAGUGAGCCAAGAUUGUGCCACUGUGCUUCAGCCUGGGCAACAGAGUGAGACCCUGUCUCAAAAAACAAUGGUCAUAUUAAAAUGAGGUCAUUAGGGUAGGCCUAAUCCCAAUAUGACUGAUGUCCUUAUAAAAAGGGAAUUCUACACACAGACAGGCAAACAGAGAGAGAAGACAUUGUGAACACACAGGGAGAAUGCCGGCUACAAGCAAAGGAAUGCCUGAGCCUACUAGAAGCAAGGAGAGUAGCCGUCAGAAGAAACCAACCUUGCUGACACCUUGAUUUUCGACUUGUAGCCACUAGAACUGUCAGACAAUAAUUUUCUAUCAUGUAGGCCACCCAGUUUGUGGUACUUUGUUAUGGCAGACCAAGGAAACACAUGUAUCCUCCAUUUCUGUCUUACAUUCCAUAUGCAGUCUUUUAGCCUUUCUUGUUGGUUCCGGCUUCCAUAUUUAUCCACAAGUGUCUGCUCACCCCCUCCUCUGCUACCACUGCGCACUGUGCCUGAGUCCCUCCAUCUCUCACCUGGCUCCCUGCAGUAGCUGCCUAACCAGUCCCCCUGCUUGUACCUUGGUCUCCUCACAACCUACUUCCAACAUGGUAGCCAGAGUGGUGCUCUUAAAACAGUAGUAACUGCACUCAGAUGUUUAUCGCAGCACUAUUCAAAACAGCAAAGUCAUGGAACCAACCUAAGUGUCCACCAACAGUUAACUGGAUAAACAAAAUGUGGCACAUAGACACAGUGAAAUACUAAGCAAUCGGCCGGGCAUGGUGGCUCAUGUAUGUAAUCCCAGUACUUUAGGGGGCUGAGGAGGGCAGAUCACCUGAGGUCAGGAGUUGGAGAACAGCUUGGCCAACAUGGCGAAACCCUGUCUCUACUGAAAAUACAAAAAUUAGCCAGGCUUGGUGGUGCUUGCCUGUAAUCGCAGCUACUCGGGAGGCUGAGGCACGAGAAUAGCUUGAACCUGGGAGGUGGAGGUUGUAGUGAGCUAAGAUUGUGCCACUGCACUCCAGCCUGGGCAACAGAGUGAGACCCUGUUUC